GCAAAAGGAGUCGCAGAGCAGAAAAUGAGACUCAGGGAACACAGGGCAACUGGGGAAGGAAAAACUCCCAAAGGACCUGAUGAUGUAUCUGCAUUCCAAAAAUGGGAUGGAGUGUGUGGAACUGCUCUCCUUCGUUCUGGAAAGUACCCUGCACUCCAGUGGAUCAGCUGACACCAUCCAGACUGGUAUCUGGCUCAAGGAGUUCUGCCAUCUCACCCAGGAACAGAAAACAGCAAGAGAAACUCACUUCGACCCUCCAUGAUUCCAUCUCCAACCUGAUCAAUCAGCACUCCACGCUUCCUAAGCUCCUACCUGUCAAAUUAUCUUUAAAUAAUUAAAUUAUUUAAAUUAUCUGAUUCCCGAAUGCUCAAGGAGACUGAUUUGAGUAAUAAUGAAACUCCAGUCUCCUGCAUGGCCAGCUUUGCAUGCAUUACUCUUUGUCCCUUGCAAUUCCCCUGUCUGGAUAAAUAGGCUCUGUCUGGGCAGUGGGCAAGGCGAACCUGCUGGGCGGUUACAGAGGAGACCAUGUAGAAUUGGUACUAUUUCCUCCUUAAAUAUUUGAUGGAAUUCACAAGUGAAACCAUCUGCGUCUGGUGUGGGUUUUUUUUUUUUUUUUUUUUUUUUUGAGACAGGGUCUUGCUCCCUUGCCUGGGCUGGAAUGCAGUAGUGUAAUCAUGGCUCACUAGUCUUGACCUUCUGGGUUUAGGUGAUCCUCCCAUCUCAGCCUCCUGAAUAGCUGGGACUACAGGUCACCAAAUAUCUAUUGAGUGCUUGCUCUGUGAUCUGGCAGACAACUCAAAGGCACAGAGAUGAAGAUGAAACACACCAUGGAGCCAGGGAAGGGCCUGGAUGCUGUGGGAAACACUACAACAGCCCCCAAGGACUGGGAUCAAUAUUGGAAACCUGUGCUUUAGUUCUUCCACCUCUGCUGCUGCUAUGCUGUGUGACCUCAGGACUGGGCCGACUGGGAGCACCAUGUGGAGAACAGAGACAAACUGGAGUGCCUUGGGGAGGAAGGAGGAGAGCACAGUCUCUGAGUCAGCCAUGAGGCAGAGCAAAUACAAGUGGUCAUGCAGGAAGAAGAGUGCUGGUUCUGCGGGGUCCUAAGAGGGAGAUGUACGGGGGGUGUGCUUUGUUCAAUAUGACAACACUACCAAUGGUUUAGUUCUUACUGCAUGAGCUUUACAUGUGGUGUAUCUUUCUGGCCUUGAAACUAUCCUGCAGGGUAAAACAACUGUCCCCCAUCAUAAGAAAUGAAGGUAACAGUGCAUGUUCUCCCCUCAGCCUGGGACAGCUUCACCAGGCAAAUUCCUGCUCAUUCUCCAGGCCAUCUCCCCAGAGAAGUCCUUCCUCAACCUCAAGAACACAUCGAGUUCUCUGUCUUCUGUUCCCACAGGACCCUGCAGUCACCCCUCCUAGCUCUUGCUGUAACAGUAGACACAUGAUUUCGGUGUAAAUAUGGACAGGACAGGAGGCAGGGCUGGACACUGCUACAUGCCCCAGAACAGUGCCUGUCCUAUGAUAUCCAAGGAAUAAUUAUCU
rnacentral:lncRNA from 1 species